GGAAGGAUCAUUAAAGAGUAAGGGUGCUCAGCGCCCGACCUCCAACCCUUUGUUGUUAAAACUACCUUGUUGCUUUGGCGGGACCGCUCGGUCUCGAGCCGCUGGGGAUUCGUCCCAGGCGAGCGCCCGCCAGAGUUAAACCAAACUCUUGUUAUUAAACCGGUCGUCUGAGUUAAAAUUUUGAAUAAAUCAAAACUUUCAACAACGGAUCUCUUGGUUCUCGCAUCGAUGAAGAACGCAGCGAAAUGCGAUAAGUAAUGUGAAUUGCAGAAUUCAGUGAAUCAUCGAAUCUUUGAACGCACAUUGCGCCCCUUGGUAUUCCGAGGGGCAUGCCUGUUCGAGCGUCAUUACACCACUCAAGCUAUGCUUGGUAUUGGGUGCCGUCCUUAGUUGGGCGCGCCUUAAAGACCUCGGCGAGGCCUCACCGGCUUUAGGCGUAGUAGAAUUUAUUCGAACGUCUGUCAAAGGAGAGGACUUCUGCCGACUGAAACCUUUUAUUUUUCUAGGUUGACCUCGGAUCAGGUAGGGAUACCCGCUGAACUUAA
rnacentral:misc_RNA from 1 species